GAUGAACGCUAGCGGCAGGCUUAAUACAUGCAAGUCGAGGGGCAGCAUGAUUGUAGCAAUACAAUUGAUGGCGACCGGCAAACGGGUGCGGAACACGUACACAACCUCCCAAUAAGUGGGGAAUAGCCCAGAGAAAUUUGGAUUAAUACCCCGUAACAUAACGAUGUGGCAUCACAUUGUUAUUAUAGAUUUUUCGCUUAUUGAUGGGUGUGCGGCUGAUUAGAUAGUUGGCGGGGUAACGGCCCACCAAGUCUACGAUCAGUAGCUGAUGUGAGAGCAUGAUCAGCCACACGGGCACUGAGACACGGGCCCGACUCCUACGGGAGGCAGCAAUAAGGAAUAUUGGACAAUGGACGCAAGUCUGAUCCAGCCAUGCCGCGUGAAGGAUUAAGGUCCCCUGGAUUGUAAACUUCUUUUAUAAGGGACGAAAAAAGGCUUUUCUAAGUCGUCUGACGGUACCUUAUGAAUAAGCACCGGCUAACUCCGUGCCAGCCGCCGCCGUAAAAC
rnacentral:rRNA from 1 species